rnacentral:rRNA from 1 species
AUUUAUCGCCUUUGGAUAAGCCCGCGUAAGAUUAGCUAGUUGGUGAGGUAACGGCUCACCAAGGCGACGAUCUUUAGCUGGUCUGAGAGGAUGAUCAGCCACAUUGGGACUGAGACACGGCCCAGACUCCUACGGGAGGCAGCAGUGGGGAAUAUUGCGCAAUGGGGGAAACCCUGACGCAGUCAUGCCGCGUGAGU